rnacentral:sRNA from 1 species
UGAAAUUGGAAAGGCCUCCGGGCCACAA